rnacentral:rRNA from 1 species
GUCUAAACCACUUGUUGCUUCCGGCUGUUUGGGCUGUAUACUUAGCUGUAUAGCCUGGCCGGAUUGUUAACAUAUAAUAUUGUCGGUAGAGUCUUCUGAAUUUUAAAAUAAAAGUUAAAACUUUCAACAACGGAUCUCUUGGUUCUCGCAUCGAUGAAGAACGCAGCGAAAUGCGAUAAGUAGUGUGAAUUGCAGAAUUCAGUGAAUCAUCGAAUCUUUGAACGCACAUUGCGCCUUCCGGUAUUCCGGAAGGCAAGCCUGUCCGAGCGUCAUCAAAAACCACUCAAGUAGUUUUGCUUGGUUAUGAAAGGGGAGUUUGCUUGCGACUUCCCUUAAAAAAUUCAAUCUCGGAGGGUCUCAUGAUUCCGGCGUAGUAAUAACUUAUUCGCUUGGUCAUUGUGACAAUCCUGCCUCAAACCCCCAAUUCUAGUGUUUGACCUCGGAUCAGGUACCUAUACCCGCUGAACUUAAGCAUAUCAAUAAGCGGAGGUUUAGAAACCAACAGGGAUUGCCUUAGUAACUGCGAGUGAAGCGGCAAUCCGCUCAAACGUGAUUUCUGGUACCUUCGGUACCCGAAUUGUAAUUUGGAGGCAUAUCUUCGGGGCUGCCCCUGUCUUAAGUUCCUUGGAACAGGACGUCCGAGAGGGUGAGAAUCCCGUGCCUGGAUGGCU